UACGAAGGGGGCUAGCGUUGCUCGGAAUUACUGGGCGUAAAGGGCGCGUAGGCGGAUACUUAAGUCGGUGGUGAAAUCCUGGAGCUCAACUCCAGAACUGCCUUCGAUACUGAGAGUCUUGAGUCCGGGAGAGGUGAGUGGAACUGCGAGUGUAGAGGUGAAAUUCGUAGAUAUUCGCAAGAACACCAGUGGCGAAGGCGGCUCACUGGCCCGGUACUGACGCUGAGGUGCGAAAGCGUGGGGAGCAAACAGG
rnacentral:rRNA from 1 species